rnacentral:rRNA from 1 species
UACGAGGGGUGCAAGCGUUGUUCGGAAUUAUUGGGCGUAAAGGGCAGGUAGGUUGUCUUAUAAGUCUACUGUGAAAUCCCCGAGCUUAACUCGGGAAGUGCGGUGGAUACUGUAAGACUAGAGUGCUGGAGGGGUUCGUGGAAUUCCCGGUGUAGAGGUGAAAUUCGUAGAUAUUGGGAAGAACACCAGUGGCGAAGGCGGCUCACUGGACUGGUAUUGACGCUGAGGUGCGAAAGCGUGGGGAGCAAACAGG